AAUUCUAACUUUGGCAUCGGAGGUUCUUCGGCCAAAGCCCCCCCCCAUUCAUCAUGGGCGCGUGAGGCUCUUGGCCUUAACCUAAGGUGUUAAUUGUUUUGUAAGUGCAAAAUCGUCCAAGAUCGAGGAGGAAGAAAUUUGCAUCCACAAAUUGGUGCUUUCAUUGAGAGCUGAAAUCCAUACUCGUAGAAGACUCUCGCUCAAAAAGGUUUUUUCUUUAUUUUCUAGUCCAUUUGAAUAUUUUUCAUACAUUCUGAAAGUAAGUUUCAAUUCACAAUCGAUUUUAAAGAGUUUUAAUCGGCCACUGCCUCGCUAAAAGGAACCUAAUGGAUCGUACACCGUGUAAGGUGGAGAUUGAAGAAACAAU
rnacentral:lncRNA from 1 species